AGCGAACGCUGGCGGCAGGCCUAACACAUGCAAGUCGAACGAACCUUUCGGGGUUAGUGGCGGACGGGUGAGUAACACGUGGGAACGUGCCUUUAGGUUCGGAAUAACUCAGGGAAACUUGUGCUAAUACCGAAUGUGCCCUUCGGGGGAAAGAUUAAUCGCCUUUGGAGCGGCCCGGGUCGGAUUAGCUAGUUGGUUGAGGUAAUGGCUCACCAAGGCGACGAGCAGUAGCUGGUCUGAGAGGAGGAUCAGCCACAUUGGGACUGGGACACGGCCCAAACGCCAGGGGGAGGCGGCGGGGGGGAAUCUAGGGGAAUGGGCGAAAGCCUGCAGCGCCCAGGCCGGGUGAAUGAUCAAGGUCUUGGAAUUGUAAAUUCUUUCACCGGGGACGAUAAUGACGGUACCCGGAGAAGAAGCCCCGGCUAACUUCGUG
rnacentral:rRNA from 1 species